AAAAGUUAGUUAAAUUAUUAUAACAUUGAAUUGUCAAUUCAAAAUUAAAUUUUACUUUUUUA
rnacentral:tRNA from 1 species